GGAAAAUAGUUACAAAGCUAUGUCGAAAACGUCUAGUUUAUUCAAACAUGUCAAAUUCAUUUAAAGACCUUUGAUCUUGUAAAGAUUAGACAAAAAAUAUCCUUAGCAAAAUAACAAGGAUAUAAAGAAUUGCUUUAGAAUAGUAAAAUUGGAUUUAGGGCAAACUCUACAUAAUGAAAUUGAAUUACCUUGUACAAGCCGUGAUGAUAAUUCUUCAAGUGAUAGACGUUGAUAUGUGCAGAGCAAAUACCUAUCCACAUUGUCACAGCUGGCAUGCGUGCUCAAAGUCAUGCGGCGGGGGAACACGUAAAAGAAUGUGUGAAUCAUGUGUUUUGUAUCAAGACAAAUGGUUCUCUGAAGGCUGCAAUGAGUUCUGCCACUACGGUCAUAGCUAUUUUUCCGGAAGAUGUCACUGUCCCUCGUGGAGAUAUGGUGAAUGUU